UAAUUUAACCAAAAUACUGGCCUUGUAAGCCAGCAACGAAGGAAAAUACCCUUCCUAGGACA
rnacentral:tRNA from 1 species